rnacentral:tRNA from 1 species
ACCUGGGUGGCUCAGUUGGUUGAGCAUCUGACUUCAGCUCAGGUCACGAUCUCAAAGUCUGUGGGUUCGAGCCCUGCGUCGGGUU